UGUGGUUAACAAAAAGUUUGAACCCAGCACAGACAGGGAGAUCCUUUCUGACCUGCCUCAAUCCUGUGUGUGUGUGUGUGUGUGUUACCUUGUCAUGUCCUUAGAAUCCCAGUGGGGCGGCAGCCAACAGACUCUUCCGCCAGAGCAUUCAUGUCAGUGCACAGGCAUUUCAGUGUAGGAUCAGCCUAAGACAAGAACAAGGACAUGGAAAGAUUUAUAUUGUUUUUUACCGAGUACUAGAUGGAUUGACUUAGUUUAAGAAGAAUCUGCGGAUAAGCCUUUUUAUAGCUUUGACAGCAAAACGGAAAGAUGGAAGAUUUUUUCUGGUCCUUGUGGAGGACUGUCACAGUUCAGUGUCAAUACAACAGGAGAUCUCAAGGUGUAAAUGUUUGUUUAAUGGUCUGCUAUUGUGAAAAGGUGACGGUUGACCCCCCCACAAAGAACUACAGCGCUACCAUUCAAGCAAGUGAACUUGGCUUUGAACAUCAUCAUCACAAAGAGCCUUGUGGAUAAGCCUUUUUACAGCUUUGACAGUAAAGCUGACAGUGCUAGCUGGUACUUGAGGUGGACCCUCACAGUCUUCAGUACCAGUACAACAGGAAAUCUCAAACUGUAAAAGAUUUGACCUUCAGCUGCAGUUUGUCCACCAGAUCCUGAAGACGAUGCAAAUUCUUUUUGUCCUCCUCAGUCUACAGAUUGGAGAGUCUGCAUACUGGAUCCUGUUGGGGAAGCCCUUUCUGCAGAUCCUGAUGCCUUCCAGCACACCGUUACAGCGCAGCUGGUGCAUGACCAGAGGAUUCUCCAUGGCCCCAGGAGUCUUGGUCUCGUUGGGGAUGAUGCAGCGCACAAAGUGGGGUGUCCUCCUUGACGUCUCCCUGGCCAUGUAGAAAAUUCCAACCUGCUGAUCCACGUGCACCUCAUUUUCACUGUCUACAUCACUCAUGCUGUCUGUGGUCAGCUGUCCUUUCAGUACUUAAAAGACAGCAUCAUUUUGGAAGCCUAUCAGUGAGGUCUGUAUUAAGUUUCAUAUUUUAUUUCAUAUAACAUUUUAGAAAACAGAAAUUCAUCUGGAUCUCUCUUUUAUGAAUUUGUUAUUUUAAACUGUAUAUUGUAUUUGUUCACUGUUUCUUUGGAUAUAAUUAUUACUAGUGUGUAUAGAGGCAAGGACAAUGGAUGCUGACAAACUGAUGCUUGAUUUCCCUCUUAAACUUUUGUUUGUAGAUAGGAGAUCAUAAUCUCUUAAGAAUCAAUAACAAACAAAAAUCUUGCCUUGUACUUUAUGUUUGGAAACUGGUCCAACAACAACAACAACCACAGCUGUCUUUUUCACAGACCAAGCACUGCACUACUGUCACUGCAUUGUUUCCUUGAGGGCAAAGAUAACCCUGUGAUUUAGUCUCAGGUUCCCCCAUUAACUGUAGAUAGCCUUUGGAGCAUUUGUCAAUGUUCCUUCCCACCCUCAUGAAUUUGUACAACAGCUGCUCUUUGGACUCAGAGGUCUGAGUGCACGCAACUUCUGCUACUGUUUGUUAUACAGAUAUAUACUGAAACACAGAAUACUUUUAUUUGUAAAAUGAAUAACAAAAGCCUAAUUCAUAUUUGAUUUAAAAAUUAGAUGGGUUUGGCCAUUUUGGACUGAUUUGUAUGACCACAAAACUUUUGCACUUGUUAGUGAUAAAUGUAAAUACUUUGUACCUGUGAUCAAAUUUAUAUUAGAUUAUAAAUAAGAGACUGUAGUUAUCUGAAAUUAAAUCUAAAAAAAAAACAUCCAUUAUGCUACUGAAGACAGUAUGUCUAGGUAGCUUGCCGCUGACUCCUCUGAUAUCAAUCUAGAAACACUAGUUCAGGUGUUUGCACCAAUAAGGUGUUGAGCCAUAGGCCUCUGGGUCGUUAAGCAACUUGACUUGGGGGUCAAGACAUGUUUACACACCAAAGGAAGUGUGAAGCCAACCUCAGGGUUCCAAUAAUGUGACUGUGAAGGCCUUAGAGUGAAGGUGAUUUUUCUUCACCCUCUGUGAGAUAUUUGAGGUCACAGGAUCUGCAACCUCUAUUCUCCCAAAUCCGUAUUUAGAUAGCUAUGGGAUGUUAGAAAUGCCAUUCCAUCUCUUGUGUAACCCUUAUGGUGAUCAGUCUCAGCUGUCAAGAGUCCUUGAGCCAUCACCACUACUGUUGGGAGGUCAUCACAUCUUCUUUUGGAGGGUUGAUAUCAUUGGCAUGGGAGGACUUGAUGUGGCAAACCCUGCUUAAGCCCACCAGGAGGCGUCUGUUUCCUUGUCUAUGCAUGAGUUUGUUUCUCGAUCCAUGUCCACAUUAACUCACAGACUUAACCCAAGAAGGAGGGACAGAGAAGAGAAGUGGUACUCCUGUGUGAAUUUAACAGUUUUGUUUGCUAAGGACUAUGAACAGAUGUUGCAUAACCAUAAUCAAAGAUAAGUGUUGUUGGAUUUACUCAGUACAUGUAACCUUCUAUUCAUUGUACUGUAUACUCUGUUGAUGUUGGUGUUAAGCACUGUCUUUUUGUAUCUGAUUAGCUUUAUUUCCUGGUCUCAUAUUGUAAAAAGGUGACCUUUGACUGACCUUACUCCCCACCCACUCAGCUCCUGAUGCUAGUACGGUAUGUAUUGCAAGAUAUCUACUUUCGUUUAAUGUAUUUGGGAAAAUGUAUAGGUGUACUCAUAAACACUAAACAGGCACGGCAAUGCAACUGUACUCAGGGAAAUAAGCUGAAUCCCAGCAAAUGGUAAUGUUAAAGCUUUAGGCCUACCAAGUAAUUUGAGCUGUUACAUAGACAUGGACACUCAGACCAGAUGUAUGGUUUCUAUAUGAAACUGCUAUAUCAGCAUACUGUAUUUUAACUGCAAUAUUUGUUACAUUCAUUUCACAAAUCUGUAUCAAAUGAAAUGAUGUGGUUUCAGUAUUGUUUAGGGUACAGUGGGUUGCAAUUUGUGGAAGAGAACACAGUGAGGCCCUGUUGCACUAGUAUCAGAGACAGUGACUUGCAAGGCUUAGUGGUGUCUUGUUUACCAUGCACAUGAAUGUCGCCUUCCCUUUGUCCUUGAGUACAAAGAUAACCCUGUGAAAUUCUUGCUACGUGUCAACGAGACAAAUAUUUAAAUUUAAUCUGCAACAGAUGGUCUUGCACAUCAAGGCAUAGAUGAUUUGUUUAAUUCCUUGUUUUAGUGUCAUAGGCAUUUUGGGUUACAAUGAUCCAGCAUUCCUGCACUGUGAGCACGGUACGGUGCACGGUGUGCACAGCCUCCUCUACUCUAUUCUGCGGCUGGGAUGUAUCACCCUCCAGCUUCUUCUGGUUCAGCAGGCUGGUGUUCUAUGGGGACAAAACAAAAGUGUCCAUGAUGGUCUGUGUCCCAUAAUAAUCAGUGUCAGAUUAUAAAUUAAUCUAAAAACUUCCAUGCUUAGGAUUUUACUUGCGGUGUGCAGCAGCCUCUCACUGGCAUCCAGCAGCUCCUGUUCAGCCAGUUUCUCUCUCUCAGUCUGCUCCACCAGGGACCUGAGUUAAUAUAAUUCAGCCAGCAGCAGGUUGUUGCUUCUCUCCACAAUAGCAAGGUUUUCUGUAAGAUCAUCAUUAUCACAUAGAGCUUCAUCCAAUUGCAGUUGCUGGGCGACUAGACAGUUGAGGGAUGCUGGGCGACUAGACAGGCUGGUAAGGAAGGCUGGCUCUGUUGUGGGAGCUGAUCUGGAGUGCAUCACUUCAGUUUCAGACAAAAGGACCCUGAACAAGCUACACAGCAUCCUGGACAAUGACUGUCAUCCACUCUACAGCACUAUCAUACAGCAGAAGAGCUUGAUCAGCUGGAGACUACGCUCCAUGACAUGCACAACAGACAGACUGAGAAAGUCAUUUGUAGCCAGGGCCAUACAACUGUACAAUGCUUCACUGAAGGGAAAAGGAGAGUUGGACUUCUAUGCAUAGUAUAUCUGCACCUCCACCCUCUUAUACACUUACAUGGCAUGGCUUACAUGUCUACCCUCAUGUCUAACUCUUAUAUUAUUACUAUGUUAAGUUUAUUUUAAUUGUCCAUAUAUUUAUAUUAGUACUGUUAUUAUCAUUACUAUGCUUACAUUUUUACUGUACAUAUUUAUUACUGGUCACUAGAAUUUAAUCUUGCACUGUUGCACUGUUGGACUUAUUUGCACUACCAACUUGACACACACCUCAGACUGGAUCACAGUACCAAUCCUCAGUACAUUCAUGCAUACCUUAUCUAUAGUAUUCUACUGCUCCUUUAGUCAUGUUGAUUGUUGAUUUGCUUUUUAAUUUUCCUGUUUACAUUGUUUACAUUGUACUGUAUUUUGUGUGUGGUGUCUUAAGCUGCUGGGACCUUGAAUUUCCCCUUGGGGAUCAAUAAAGUAUCUAUCUAUCUAUCUAUCUAGUUGAGCAUCCUGCAAUGUACAUGUUUCAGACGUGUACAUGUUUAUUUUCUAGAUUGCUAACAUACAGCCUAACAAUGUUUCCUUUAUCCAAAAAGCGAAUUAUUCUGGACCAGAAAUAAAAAGCAAUGUUGAACCUAAAUGUAUGGACAGAUUUAUAUGCUACUAUUUGAAUUUGUUUUAGAUACCAGGCUAGCUGCACAAGUGAGUGAAUGGAGAUGAUGGGAAAACAUAUUCAAUAUCAAUAUGAUAUUGAAAACAUAUCAACAUAUUGAUGGGAAAACACAUAAUCUUCGAUGUCCAUGGAGACCCUUGAGCUGCUUCUGGGCCUCAGCUGCCUGCCUGUUGGCCUGGCUGAGCUGGAUCUCCAUCUCAUUGAGGUCUCCCUCCAUCUUCUUCUUCACUCUAAGAGCCUCAUUCCUGCUGCGAGUCUCAGACUCCAGUAAGCUCUGCAGGGUAUCCACCACUCUCUGCUGGUUCCUCUUGGCCUGCUCCAUCUCCUCAUCCUUUUCAGUAAGUUUGCGCUCAAUGUCAGCUUUGACCUGAUUGAACUCCAGCUGAGCUCUGAGGAUCUUACCCUCCUCAUGUUCAAAGGAACCCUGUGGAGAUACAGUGUUUAGCUCCUGAUUCAUUUAUAUUUUGUACUCGGUGACUUAAAGAAAUGUGUGCAAAAUUGCUGGAAUUUCCCUUUUACUUUUAUUUACUAUUAUAAUUUGCUUUUGUUCAUGGAAAGCACAUUGAAUUACCCUUGUGUAUGAAAUUCACUAAAUAAAUAAACUUGAUAUGACUUGA